rnacentral:tRNA from 1 species
AACAAGAUAAGCUAAGCAUAAGCUAUUGGGCUCAUAACCCGAAAAUAGAGAACAUUCUUCUUGUUA